rnacentral:rRNA from 1 species
AUCUGACCUCAAAUCAGGUAGGACUACU